AUCAUCAUGUGAUGAAUACAUUUUCAUAUCUUAGGACACCUUUGGACACAGUCUAAUUCUAGCUGUGGAUGAAAAUCAACUUUAUUCUGAUGAUGAA